GAUGAAUGCCUACGGAAGUGAGUUACUUUGAAUUCACGGUGUAAUGAAAUAUUUUAUAACUUCAUUAGUUUGAGAUUUUUCUGGAAGUUUUGUAAUUGCCUUGAUGGUUCACACGGAUGGUUUUGCAUGAAUAUAAUGAUUCCUUUGUGACAAUGUGGGUGAUGUGUUGCUCGUUUUGUUUGAACAUGGGAUAGGACAAGGUGAUACCUAAUGUGAGAGGCAACCAGACAAUCUUGUAUCAGUCUUUUGAUGGCGGGAAAGGUUUUCUUUGCCCUAAAUGGAUUACGGGUCCUUAUGUAUAUAACAAAUUAGCAUGUUUGAUAAAUGUGGCAACUUUACUAACAAAUACAUUGUUCAAAGUGGUGAAUGCGGAUCAUCAAUGGAGUGCCAAUUUAAUGUUACAUUUUCUCAGUUCUGAUAUUAAACUUGUAAAUUACUUGUCCAUGUUAUGUUCAGAUAAUUUUGUCGCUUUUUCGUUUGCAAGUAUGCAUCAAGUAAUAUUCUCUUAUGUAUUUUUUGCAGGUAUGGCAAUGCCAACGUUUGGAAGAUCUUUACAGAUUUG
rnacentral:misc_RNA from 1 species